rnacentral:rRNA from 1 species
GGAAUCUUCCACAAUGGACGCAAGCCUGAUGGAGCAACGCCGCGUGAGUGAAGAAGGUCUUCGGAUCGUAAAACUCUGUUGUUAGAGAAGAACACGAGUGAGAGUAACUGUUCAUUCGAUGACGGUAUCUAACCAGCAAGUCACGGCUAACUACGUGCCAG